UGACCAUUUAUCUGUCCAUAAUGACACCACUAACAAAUUCGUUUAUGAACCUCCGAUAAAAAGAAAAAAAGAUUACAAAUUUGAAUAAAAAAAAACAAACAUUCCUUUUGAACCAACAACACCCCCUGCUAGAAAUUUUCCUCAUUUAGGCUCUUUUCAACGAACCAUACCUGGAUUUCAAAAAAUGAUAAAGAAGCCUUAUCUAGUAUAAAUAAUGCCAAUAUGAAUGUUUCUUCUAGAAAUACUACACAUACUAAUGAUAAAACAUCAAUUUUGACAAUUUUUGAAGAGUUGAUUGAAAUUUAGGGUUUUAGUAGCAGUUUUUGGAAAUCAUUGAAAAGGGAAAUUUUACCGCUUUUAGCAAACCUUUUUGAAAAACUGAACUCCUUUGAACCCUUCAUUGCUUCACUUUUUUCAUUGUAAUGGCUUCCAAUAAUACUUCAGUCAAACCUCCAUGAGUUGAUAUUGAAGGGACCAUCGACUCAAGGAAAUAUCGAGUGGUGGAACAAAAAUCUUUUGGGAGGCUUUUUGGGGUGACCAUCAUAGUAACCCAGAAAUUAUUUUUUUAGUAUGGAAAAAUUUAUAGAAAAUUACACAUUUUUCAAUGGAAUUGCCGCAGUAAUUUCAAAAAUAAAUGAACGAAAAGUAUUGAUUUCAGUGCAUAAUUUAGAUAUAAUUUGUUUAAAUGAAACAUGAUUAAUUGAAACCAUUUUUUUCUGCAUUCCAUCUUUCUAUAUGGCUUGGAAAGAAAGAAACAAUUCCUUUGAAGGAGUAUUGGUUGACAUUCAAGAGGAAAAUUUAUUAUUUGAAUUUAUCAAUACACACAUAAGUUGAAUAAGUUAUAGCAGAAAAGUGCCCAAAAUAGGACCCCUGCCGAGAUGGUUCCACUUCCCUACCUUUAUUUUAGAGUAAAUUACAGUAUUUUUUCGAAUAUAUCACGAUUAAAAAAAUAAUUUCGUGAUAUACUGGAGCGUGGUAAAAUAGAUUUUUUUUCGAAUAUAUUUUGUAAUCAAUAUACACAUACAUAAAAAAUAAACACACAAAAAACAUCAAAUCGUGUUAUCCGUAACGAAUUCCUAACUUUAUGCUUAUUAAGAGUCCAUUAGAUAUGGACAAAUAAAAAAAUAUAUAUGCCAUAUUAGUCCGACAUUCACCUAAGAUUAUCAUGAUUCACAUUGUGUUGGCCAUUUGUUGGGCUUGUUUGGGCAGAUAUUUAUCUCGUAAUGGAAGGCUGAUACAAAAUUUAUGUUGACACAACCCAUAUUGUGCGGGUAUUCCCAUAUCGAACACGACAAUUAGGAACGUUCUCACAGUCGAAUGUGUCGAAACUCAAAAGUGACAGAGUGGCACGUAUUUUUGCUGACUCGCUCACAUUUCGUCUUCGUUCCUUUCUUUUUUGCAACGAUGCCAGCUGAAGGUUGCAUCAAAAAUGCAAUAGUUUGUCCAAAAGUGACAGUACAGGAGACUCAAUUGACGAGGUUCGUCGAUAAGGGAGUUUCAAAUAGGGUGUCGAAUCGACAUUCGAAUCCAGUGACCAAAGAAACCCACAAUAUCGCGCCACUUGGGCGGUGGCUUCUAUAUUCGUCUGUUUUCCACUAUAACUCAGUCAAUUUUGAACCAGUUGACUUGAAAUGUUGCCAUAUUCGCUUUCUCACCAACACACCAACACAUGAAAUUCAAACCUAUUUAUUUUUUAAACUUAUUCGAUCCUUCAAAUGGCAAAGCUUGUCAUACCAUAAAAACGAAUGCAGUAAGCAGUAAUUAGACAUUUUGUUUGCCUAACGUUUGUUGCUACUGGCGUUGUUGAGAAAUUUGAAACACAUUUUUUUUUAUUGAGAAGACCCGUAAUGAUGAUUCUUGAUCAAGUGUCCGGAAUUUUUUAAGACUUUCCAUACAAGGUUGGUGAUUUGAAAUCGAUUUUUGUUCUAUUUUUAAGCAAAACCUGCCAGCUGUCAGAUGAUCGAAGGUAUUGUAUUCAGCUUUUAUUUUAUGGAAACAGAUUUAAAAUUAGUUGAAAAAAAACGCAAGAUAUUUGAAUUUUAGUAAAUUCAAUAUUUUAAAAAGUUGUAAAACUCGAUAUUGAGCUAAAACUCAAAAACUGCUCUACUUAACAUUUUUUGAAGUACGGUUUCGAAAUCAAUGCUAAAUUGUACUUCAAAAAUUUUGGUCGUUUUUUUUAUCUGUAUUAACGAGAUUUUUAGCCUUAGGCUAGUUCAUCUCGGGACCCACGCUUUACUUCCCUUCCAAAGGAAGAACCCACAUUUUAUGAGUUUUGUCGGGAGUGGGAUUCGAUCCCAGGUCCUCGGCGUGAUAGUCAUGUGUUCUAACCACCACACCAGGUCCGCUCCGGUCGUUGGUAGAAGUUCAGGACUUUUGUUUUAUUUUGUAAACUAGUGUUAUUUUUCUAAUAAAACAUCAAAUUAUACAAAAUUUCAAUAUCGUUUCAAAAAUCAAGAUGCUCAUUAUAAUUCAUUCCAAUUCCCUCUAAUAAAACGUUUUGAAGGAAAGUAACACCAUUGAUAGCCGGCAAUAAAUUGAAAAAGUAAUAGGAUGAAUAUUAAAAAUAAAGCAAUUUACUAAAGAAUCAUAAGUAAAUGAAAUCGCCAUAGCUCUUUCUCUUGUUAAUAAUUUCAAGUUAAGUCAAACGUUUUUCAGAGCUCAUUAUAUAAGUCAUAAAUGGUCAAAUUGCAAUGCAUUCGAUUGAUUGAAUCCGGAGAUAUAACACACAGUAAAACCACUCAGCACUAAAAUGAGUAAGACCUACUCAUAAAUGCAUAAUUUCCAUACCACUCAUAAAAUGUGUAAGAGUUUCACAUUCACAAAAUCUACUCCUGCGUCCACAACAUCGUUAAAGUUGCAAUUUUUUUGUAUGGCAAUCUAGCUAGGUUUACUAGUGACCUUGGCGAAUCCAAAAAUAUAGCCAUUUCGCAUCUAGAAUAGUGUACGAGCAGAUUUUGUGAAUGUAUAACUCUUACACAUUUUACGAGUGGUAUGGAAAUUAGGCAUGUAUGAGUAAGUCUUACACAUUUUAGUGCUAAGCAGUUUUAGCGUGCACCUCAAAGUUGGCUUUCGAAUAAUUCUAUCUUAUCUAGAAUCUUCCUAACUUCGUGCAGAAUAGCCCGAACAUUUUCAAAUUUUGACCACUAAUACACAACUAGUUGAUCAACUUACAGUGAAAAUUUGAGAAUGUUUGAUGCACUUUUCGAAAAGUUACAGCUGAUUGAAUAUUUUUUGAAAAGUGAAAAUUUUGCCUGUCCCUUUCAUUUUGUCUUUCCCUUGUAUAUUGAAUCCGUGGGAUCGAUGGCCCAAUGUCAUCCAGAACGAUGGUAACAGAAAUUUGGGAUUGAAUUGAAGAUGGGUCUGUAACACGGUAACAGACUAAAGACUGGACUCGCGAAAAAAUGAGACACAAAGAAUAAUGUAUAACUUUUGAUUGCGUGCACAAAAAUCGCUGAUUUUUUUUUACCAGGAAUAGUACAUUAUGUGUAACUCAUGCCAUAAAAAUCGGUUCUCAAAAUCGGUUAAGUGUUGGCGGAGAUAUCGUCGAAACAAGAGACUUACCAUUUGAGAAUCUUGGGCGAACAAACACUUUUUUUUACCUAAAACUGUAGAGCCAAAAAUACUGAACUGAUUUUAAUAAAAAAAAAUUCUGUGCAAAAAGUAUGCAUGUAGAAGUAUUGUGCCAAAAUUUCAUUCAAUUUGAUCUAACCGUUAAAAAGUUAUAGGCAUAUAUGUAGCACUAUGUCGCAAUAUGCAGAUGUGGUUUUUGGUAUAGUGACAUUCAAACUGCUCUAACUUUUAAAAUGUUCAACCAAAAUGACUGAAAUUUUCACUGAAAACAGUUUAACACAACAGUUUUACACUGUCAAAGUUUCAUAAAAAUCGGGAUAGUGUUGUCAAUUCUACAGUCAAAAUAGUGCACACUGAUUUUAAAAUGUUACAAUGUGCCCAAAAUUUCAAAAACCCGUUUUUUUUUGUUUGAAUUGUUAAAAAGAAGUACUGAACCGAUUAUAAUAAAUUUUCACCACAUACUUUUCCUUACUUGGAGAACCUAUAGUCGAAUUUUCAGACGUUUUCAUGAGCUAACAACAAAGUUAUAGCCUAAACAAAUUUUAAAAUGGACGCCCAAAAUUUCCAAAAUCACAUUUUAUUGUCUCGACUACCCGAAUAAAAAAUACAGUAGAAAAACCGAACGUUGUAUUGUAACAGUACUAUUUAGAACCAUAUUUUUACAAUAGACACCACUGUAAAAAUAAAAAUACAAAAACAGUAAGAUGUAAUGUAAACACAAUACCGUGAAUUGUAAAUAAGAUUUUUACAAUAUACUAUACGGGUUGUUAAGUAUCGUAACAAUAUAAAAAAUAUUUUUCUCCAUUUAUAUUUUUUUGCAAAACCAUACAUUUUAUUGUUAAUGAAUUGUUCAAAAUACUGAUACGUGGGUUUAAAUAUACCGUACAUUGUAUGGUACAUGAACGGUUUCAAACAAUAAAAUGUACCGUAAAUAAAUUGUUUUUAAUUGUAAUUUCACUACUGGUUAUACAUUUAAUCAAAUGGUUUUGGAAAGGUCCUCUUUUGUUAUGUUGUAUUGUUUUACAUUACAUAAACCAUAUAUUGUUAUAUUGUCUUGUCAUUUUCCUCCUGUUAAUGGCAUCUUAGGCUUAUUAGAUUUAUUAGAAUGCGCUUUGGCAAUUCUUCAGACCGUUUUGGAUAACCCUUCAUAUAUAGGAUCGCCCACGUCUAAGUCUGAGUAGUCUCUGAUUGCAUUAACAGUUGAAGCUUAGGCUCCCAUGCCCCACCAGCCAGGCUUUGCAAACUAAGCAUUAUUUGUGGCAACACUUUGAGCGGCAUGAUGGAACUAUGCCGAACGCGCUAAGUGUUAUUAGACCACUAAUGUAGUUGCAUGAAGUGGGUGACGAGGUACAUAAGUAUCAUUACAGCGUGCUUAACCGUUAUUGCAAUAUUGAGGCACCAGUUUGACUAAAGUUUGAAAUACAUAACAACUCAUGAGAAAACUGUCGAGAAGUUCGAUUCAAAUAUAAGUUAGGUUAAAAACCCGCAGACGAACCUAUAUUAGAAGUCAUUUCAGUGUUCAGUCCAGUCCAUAUGUUAAAGAUGGCUCUACGUCAAAGAUAAAGUUUGUCAACCGCAUUUGAUUCGAUUGUGCUCGAAUGCAAGUUCACAUGAGAGAAGAGGAGAAAACUCCCCUAAAUGCAAAUACAGAAAGAAUAGUGUUGAACUCAUCCACUGAUUUACGGUAAUCUGACCUGCAUCUUUCCGGGUUGGCCUACAUCCGUAUUUCUCUCAUCGCACUCUACACACCUAGCCCGCCAUAUCUCUUGGACCCCUGCUUGGACCUGCAGUUCUUAGGACAUCUGGUUUACCACUGAUUUAAACAUGUUAUUGACUUUAAAUUGAUGUUUAUACUUAUUCACUUUGUUCUCUUUCCUUUCCUUUGCAUCAAAAAAGUCAUCAUCAACAAAACAAAGCACGGAAAAAAUCUUAAACUGGAUAAAUAAUUAAAAAUUCACGGAAAAAUUAUGUUUCGGAAAAGUGAAUGGCUCAAACGUAAGAAAAACAGUAUAAUAUAUUGUUACAUAAAAAUCCAAUGUAAAUGUAUAGUAUAGCGAACCAUUUCAUUACAAUACACUUUAUUGUAACUGGUACACUGUAUGGUGCAGGAAUGGUUUUCACCAAACACCCUAUGGUUAGUUUUUAUCUGGGUGGUGUUAUGUUUGGCGAUAUGUUCUACAGCUGCCUUUUGGCUAAGGUGGAAUCUAAAUCUGUCCUUCAAUUUCUUAGCGAAGCGUGCUUUUACAAAUUGGAAUCAAUUUUGUAAAUUGGGACAGAAACCGAUAAACGCCUAAAAGUAUGCAAUGAUCUAGUAAUAAUUCGUUGGCUAAAAGUACGACCAGUGUUUGAAUUUUAGGUGGAUUUAUCACAUAAGUGAUACUUUAAAAAGAAGGGCUCAAAUAUACAAAACAAAUUCUUCAUAGACACCAAACUUCUAAAAUCAUCUUUUCAGGUGCAAAAUUAUUGGGUUUUGCGAAAUUGGGUCUUAGGGAGUCCUACCGAAAGUACACUCCUGGGACCAAGUUUCAGAUGCAUCUCAUGCCAGAAAGCAGCCUCAGCAUUGUGUUCUUGCGUUGGCCUACCAUUUCAAGUUGUUAAAGAUUUCAGAAUUAUUAUAAAAUACCAGAUUCAUAGACGACUCGCAAAAACAUUGCCCCAGGGAACACUUAUUUCCGGUGCAAAAACAGGUUCAAACAUGGACUUCCGGUUUGGCAACUACUCUUACAUGAAGUACAACUCUUCCCAUCGAUCAUAGUGAAAACCGCUUAUUUUUAUAUUUUACAGAUCCUGAGUAUCAGACGAUUAAAAAAAAGAAGUUUGUCCUGGGGCUUUGAGGGUUAAGGGUUUUUACAAGGAAUCGCUGGCGAUUUAUGUCAAAACUCUUGAAAAAUUUCUAAAGAAACUGGCUUUUAAAGAUACAUUUAGAUAAAAAAAAUGCAGAUCUCAGAUAUUUUAUCUGUUCUAUUCUCAGAUACAAUCUAUUCAUAUAACAGAUAAGUUCUAUGUUGUUCUUUGAGAGGACUCAAUUCUUUAGAAGAAUUUUUCUCAGAAAUUUUGAAAAUACCUUCUUCUGAUUUUCAACUUGCAGUUUUUCUUCCGUUUUAAAGUCAGUAAUUGCAAGAAUUCAAUGUACCUUUUUAUAAAUUUAUCCAGUACACGUUACACAGAAAACACUUCAAGAGUUCCUCCCAAUAUUUCUUCAUCAAUUCAUAAUUCCAUAAAAAAAAUACAUCAGAUAUUCUUCCGAGACGAUUGAAUUAUUAAUCUGCCGCUCUACGCUCAAUUAUGCGUAGAGCGGCACUAAUGCUUUUAGUAAUUAUUCCGAUUUUUUUUAAUGCCACUAUACGAGAUUGUUAGUAUGAUGGCUUUGAUGAUUGUAGGGAGCUUGUGUAUGAACUCAUUCUGAAAUUACUAUUAAUAAUCCCCUACUAGCGAAUUAAGGAAUUAUUUCAAAAAGUUUCAAUGAAAACAUUAAUUGCAAACUUGUCCCAAAGCUCAGCCAGAUAGUUCGGUAAAAAAUCCUACUACAAGGAACUACUACAUAAAAAAGCUGGAUGAAAUCUUUAAGCUUUAAAAUCUGUAAAAUUAUGUCACUAAUUUCUCCUUGGACUCAGUCAGAAAAUCCUUUUCAAAGUUCGUCGACAUACAAAAUCUCACCGACAAAAAUUCUCUGAUUACCACCAGAAUUCCAGGGGGUUCCAGCUAAAAUAAAUUUCCUCAAUUUUUCUGGCAAUAGACAGUCGAAACUACGUAAACUGGGUGAUUCCUCGAUUAAGUAUACUCGAAUUGGAAUUCUCAACAAAUAGCUUUGUGAGUGAUUCUAUGGAAAAUCAUUGAAAGAAUUUCCAACGGAAUACAUACUCUUCUAGUAAAAAUAAUAGUUUUUUUGCUAAUGAUUUUGAUGAUUUCUGGUUAUCUUUAUAAUUAAGCUAUGAUUAAUUAUGUAUCAGUAGGUCUGCUUCGGAGGCACGUUCUCCACUAUUCAGGAAAUUUGUACCAAGUAACAAACUAUUUUUUUAAGAAAAUGUUGGAGAAGUAGUCUAUGGCGUUUCUUAUAAAAUCAUUCAAAAUUUGACUACCAAAUAUUUUUGCGAUUUUUUUACGUUUUUUAGAGUAGGGUUUGUUUAGUCGUUCAAAACUUCAUUUUAAGAAAAUUGUGAUUUUAAAAAUGUUUGUGUCAAAAUUUAAGAUCUAACCGUUGACUCGACCAUCCGGACAUGGAUAACCUGUCGCUCGGAUAAUCUCUAUCAAACAAGAAAUAACUCGUACUUCAGAAACCAAAAUGCUCAUCUGCAUCAUUUGGAUGUUGAAACUACUGCGUGAGGCUUCUGAAACUGUGUAAAUAUCUGGAUUUGAAGUGAGUCAAGUGCUAAAUCUAGGUUUGAGUUUAAAUUCUGGAAGCGUCACACAUCAUUUUAAAAAUUCCCGAUCAUAAACAAAAUUCCCGACUUUUUCCCGCAUUUCCCGAGUCUAUGGCCACCCUGCUGUCCCUAUCAUUUUGUCUUUCCCUUGUAUAUUGGAUCGCCCAAUGUCAUCCAGAACGACGGUAACAAAAAUUUGGGAUUGAAUUGGAGAUGGGUCGGCAACACGGUUACAGACUACGGCUGAAAUCUACUGAUCAAAUAUCCCAGCACAGGACAUCACAAAUAAAAUAAGACGGACAAAAUUCGACUUCACAGUAGGUUAAGGCAAUGGUCAAAAGUUUUUAAAAAUUAUUAAAUUAGUUAAUUUAUAAUAAUAGCAAUGAUGUACCAUAUUCGCAGAUGGUGGUCGUUCAAGCAUCGUGCCCUGCAGAAUUCUAAAAAGAAAGAAUCUCAACAGGUUUCCGGUUGAAUUACAAGAAAGAAAGGUACAACCAAGUAUGGGACAAACCAACAGAAGAAAUUAGCGAUGAUAGACUCACACAAAUACUAAAUAUUCCACCUAUGUACAUGUAAUCUCAUGUUAAUGAGUCAUACACAUAACAAACAAACACACAUCUUAAAGUCGACUAAUAAUUCUCGUGCGCAAAGACACAAACAAGAUCCACCGAAGCGAAUCAGGUGAUCAAGCAAUUGAAGUAAUGAACACGUCACGAUCACACGGUACGCAAUCAAUUGGCAAAAUGUGCUUGUGGGUCUUACAUGUGGGUACAGCUGCUGCCGUAACCGCCGCCAGCCAAACCGUCCCUCAGAGAUCUCCUGCAGGCUGCACCCGAGAAAACAAAACACUAUCUAUAGUGAGUGGUAUACAGCACAAUACAACGACCACGACGACCUUGUUUCUCUUUUCAGCCCCACCACCGCGCCACACUUACAGCUUUGUCUGCGAAAUCUCGGCCGCCGCGCCCCGCGCAUGGUGGGUGCAUUAUUUAAACUCAUUAAAGCCCCAAUGCUUUUACCCGAAUCCGCCAAUUUCCGUGUUUUGUCGGAUGAAAUUUCACUUUUCUCUUUGCGUUUUGCUGCUUCUGUUUCUCGGUACACAGGUACCAACGCCUGAUUUGUACACUUGCGCGAUGUUACGUUGGGCAGUAUCGAGUUCGGUUAUUUGAUAAUGGGGAAGAGAUCUUUUUCAUAACGAUCAAUAAUUAGCUGACGAAGGUGCGGUGCUAUUGCAUUAUAGAUUUGGAGAUUAUCGCAACACACUUGGUUGAAAUGGAUCAGUAAGCUAGAACAGUCUCUGAAAUACCUUCCGAGAGUACUAUAUUCAAUAACAGCUCACAUGCCUACAUUAAAAAGCAAUUAACGAUUAAGAUUACAAUUCCGUUAUCAGUGAGACUGCUUAAGGUCACUGGAUUUCGGUGGAAACAAAUGAUGACUGUAUUUACUGAUAACAAGGCUCGCUGUUUUACCACUGGACCAGCCCCAUAGUAUAGUUUGAUUUCAUUUCAAUGAAUGCUGCAACUGCAACUCGGCAACGCAAUGGUAAUUCGACUCCUAGUUAUUCAACCGAUGUAUGCGCCAAGAGUUCCUGUUUAUCUAGAGAGUGGCGAUGGAUAGGAAACUGAAAUGCAUACAAAAUAGCAAGUAUCAGUUCAAUCACCAAGCUGAUUUACGGCACAAUUUAAAACAAUCAAUCGGCCAAGAAACUCUAAUCUGUUUCCUUUGAAACUCGGUACAGGGUGGACGGACAUAGUAGGAUCUCAGUAUUAAAAAAAACUCAAGGUGCUCAAUACAUGACCGAUGUUAAGCUCGGUGGGACUAA